rnacentral:tRNA from 1 species
AGGCCGGUAGCUCAGUUGGUUAGAGCACUAAGCUUAUACCUUAGACGUCGGAGGUUCGAGUCCUCCCCGGCCUA